AAUUUGGGAGCUGGACUUCAAAAUUAUCAUAUACUAGCCAAUAAACGAGCACGCGGGCUUUGCUAACGUGGAGUAUUGACCUUUGCUGAUUACUUAUAUCACUGUAUUUCAAACCAGCACGUUAAAGAUGGAAAUGGUUUCAUUGCACUUUGGUGUCAAGGACGAUGGUUCAGCGACAAACGUCCCUCUACAUUCUGAGGACGAAGACAGCUUCAUAAGGGCCAGGCUUCAGGUCUGCGGUCCUGGGGGAUCCUAAUAGAAACUGCGCUUCUCUGCAGCAGGUCCAACCUCGCCCGCUCUCCGCCAACUCAAACUACUUAGGAUCUGUACCGCUCCGAGUCCCAACAACGAAACACGAACAGGCGGAGCCACUCCAUCCGGGUGCUUUGUCAGAAGGACGUAACGGCGUGGCCUAUGACGUACGGAG